AAGAAAAUGGGGAAGAGUGAGAAAUGAAGAAGAGGAAGAUGCAGAAGAGUAGGGGAGAAAGGUAAUAAAAAGAAAGAAAGGGGUUAAAUUUUGGUUUAAAAAUUAAAAUUUAAUAAGGGGUUUACGUGGGAUGUUCUUAGCCUUGUGUGUCAAAAUUGCUGUCCACGGCAAUUUCUUACCGUGGAUCUGGAUCCAUUGUCGUCUCUGCUCUGGUUUUUCCUCUCUCUCUGCCAAUCUUUUCUUCUUCCUCUCGCAGCACCCCAUCUCCCUCUUCAACUCACGCCUUUCUCUCUCUCUCUCUCAUCUCAGUCCAGAAUGCAGGAUUAAACAAACGAAAAACAAAAUCCUCAAAAGGCUGAAACACAUAAAAAUACACAAAAUCCUCAAAACGCAUAUUCCGCCACCACUCACUGAUCAAAAUUCACACCCCAAAACUCCACAACUCAAACCCCCUACCCCCAAAUUCCACUAGAAAUCAACAAUCAACAAACAAAAAAACGAAGAACAGCAAAACCCAGAAAUCAAUGGAGACGAGAGAGAGGGAGAGAUUGAGAGACAGGGACGAAAGAGAAAGAAGACGGAGAAGAGAGAUAGAGAUUGAGAGACAAAGACGAGAGAGAGAGGUUGAGAGACAGAGACGAUAGAGAAAGAAGCGGGAGAAGAGAGAGCGAGAGAUUGAGUGAAACGAUGCUCUUAAAGUCACUUUACCAUCUUCAUCACACACUGUAAAGUUUCAUGGCCAAAGUCUGAUAUUGAUUUUCACAUUCAUUCCGGUGAGCAUCUUUGAAGUGCAGUCUUGAUUCGGGGCAGGCAAAGAGAGGUGUUAGGCAUAGGGGAGUUUUUGUUCAAGAAAGAGUGUUAGAAUAUAAUUUAAAUCGCAAGCGCUGAUUUAACAAUUUUCAAGUCAUCCAUGUGGGAGAUUGUCAAAUAUUCCAAACUAGGGAAGCAACCUGCAAGGUUCAUCCCAUGUGCUAAUUACACACCUAUAUGUAAUAACUCUCAUAACUAUUUUUUUCUUUUCAAGUUUAAAAUAAAAAAGAGGAGGCUAAAACAGGGAAACAAGUCAAAAAGAUUUACCUCUUCAUUGAUCAGAAGUUGCAUAGCGAUACGAGGGCUCUCAUUUGCAUUCAUUUAUUUGAGUUUUUUGCUGGUUGUCAUGCCCAAACUAACAGGUUUGGAUAUGAAUGUCUUUAAUUUAGGGCAAUGGUCUAUCAUUAACACCUUCAAGGAUGGAAAUUUGAUAUUACUUCCUUUCACAUAAUCUUUUUUGGAUUGGAAGCUCUUCUAGAAACAUGAUUCUAGUCGAGGGAACAACACCUUAGGAAUUGUUUCUUCUACUAGAAUCCAUCUUCCUAGAAGAAAUUUAGGAGUAGUAGAAGAAACAAUUCCUAAGGUGUUGUUCCCUCGACUAGAAUCCAUGUUCCUAGAAGAGCUUCCAAUCCUAAAAAGAUUAUGCGAAAGGAAGUAAUAUCAAAUUUCCAUCCUUGAAGGUGUUAAUGAUAGACCAUUACCCUAAAUUAAAGACAUUCAUAUCCAAACCUGUUAGUUUGGGCAUGACAACCAGCAAAAAACUCAAAGAAAUGAAUGCAAAUGAGAGCCCUCGUAUCGCUAUCCAACUUCUCUUCAAUGAAGAGGUAAAUCUUUUUAGCAUCCCCUUUUUUAUUCUAAACUUUUUUGAAAAAAACCCGUUAUGCGAGUUAUUACUAAUAUGUGUGUAAUUAGCACAUGGGAUGAACCCUGCAGCUUGCCUGCCCUAGUUUUGAAUAUUUGGGAAUCUUCCACAUGGAUGGCUUGAAAAUCAUAUGGUGGAACCAAUUUGUCGUGGAUUCCUUUUACAAGCUCUUACAAUAUAAUAAUGAACAUCUUUUAAUUUGAUAUGCCAACUGUUACAGAAAUGCAUGUUGUAACAGCCAUUCAGUUGAAAAUAUUGUAUUUGAGUUGGCUUCCCAAUAUGAGGCAUGUAUGGAGUAAAGACCCCAAAUCAAUUUUCAGCUUUCAAAAUAUACAAAGUGUAUGUGUUGCGGGAUGUAUGAGUUUGAAAAGUCUAUUUCUGGCCUCUGUGGCUAGAUGUCUCAUGCAAUGGGAGCAACUUGUGAUAGUUGAUUUAAGGUACCGGAGGAAAUUGUUGCAGGGGAAGAAGCGGUGCAACCAAUAGCUGGGUUCGUCUUCCUGCAAGUAACUGUCCUGCAGCUUGCAGUGCUACCAAGACUCAAGUGGUUUUACCUUGAAGUGCAAACUUCAGAAUGGCCAAUGCUGAACUUUUAAGCUUUUAAGAGAGCCAACUUGAGAUUAAACAACCCCUUUUCCUUGGUUGAUGAGGUUCCAUUCCCUAGUUUGGAAAAAUUGAGAAUCUUCUACAUGGUUGACUUGAAGAUUAUAUGGCAUAACCAAUUCACUGCAGAUUCCUUUUGCAAACCUCAGAUUAUAAAAGUUGAGUUUUGUGAAAAUCUUAUUGUUCAAGAAACAUGUGCUGUAACAGCCACUCAAUUAAAAGAAUUGCAUCUGAUUCAUCUGCCAAAACUGAAGCAUAUAUGGAAGGACCCCCAAGAAAUUUUCAGCUUCAAAAUCCACUUGAAGUACAUGCUAUGGGAUAUGAGAGCAUGGAAAAGCGGCUCAAAAGCCCCAUUCCAGACUUUCCUGCACUUUGAGGAUGUUUCGUUUGACUUCAAUGGGAUCAGGGAAAUUGUUGAGGAACCAAAACUGAAGAGACGGAGGGGAAGGGUCAGGGACGGAACUACGGCAAGCAUUGGGGUGGCCUUCGACGUGUUGAUGAAGAAGAGAAAAUAGAGGGGACAAAGGAAGAACAAAAGAAAAAGAUAGAUAAAUUGGACCUUUACAAAUGAUCUGUAAUAAUUUGAAAAAUCAAAUGCUGAUUUGGUUUUCUUAACCAAAGACAGAGUAUGCAUUCUUAUUUAUAUUCAAAGAUACAUGAGUUAUAGCUGC